rnacentral:lncRNA from 1 species
UAAAAAUGAAAUGGUCUUGACAAGUUGAUCAAUUAUUAUGCAGAUCUUACACAAGCCAAUAGUGAAAUUAUUGAUAAUUAAAUCAGCAGAUGAAAAUGAUGGAGGGAUCACAGCAACAUUCAUCAAUUAUCCAACAGCAACACAAAGCUGCAAGACUAACAAAAUAUAACACAAAUCAGAAUUAAUAUAUAAGUAAUUUUAUUUUAUUUAAAAAAAAAAGCGGUAAUAAUUAUUCAAACAAAGUCAUACUCGGUGUGUGUGAGAGAGAGAGAGAGAGAGAGAGAGAGAGAGAGAGAGAGAGUACCAUCCCUCAAGAAAACUAGGUUCUCUCCUGGGGGGAGCAGCAUGAUACUGUGGAGGUGCCACUACUGGAGGCCCUUGGUAAUAACCUAUUUUAUAUAUAUGUGUCAAGAAUUCACUGAUUUAACAUGUGAGAAAUCUCUUAUAAAGAUUUUAGUAACUGCAUAUAUAUAUGUAUAUGGUACACAGAUUAAGAACUAACGAACAUAUAUAAAGAUGAAAGUUUAAACAAAGUUAAAUUUAUUUGGUACCUUGAGCAGGAUAGGGAUAAGCAUAUUUUGGUGGUUCAGUACUCAUUUCUUCUACUCACUUCAACUCACAAGAACUGGAUCAAGAAGUGAAUUAGUCUUCACUCUUCAUUGAUAUAUGUGGAAAAAGAGCCACAAAGGUCAAAGAAUGGAGUGGAUUGUGUUGGUUUCAUACACAUCACACAAUAUUUUUGAACUAAUUUGAAUUUGGGCGUAUACGUCCCUCUCCCUUUGUUUUUUUUUUUUCCCCUACAUUUUUUUGUCAUUUUUCUUCUUUUUCGUUUUUAUUAUUUUGUACACUUUCUUUUUCUCCUUUUGUUACCAAAACAUAUUCUUUGUGCACUUUCACUU